AAACUUCAAAAAAAUCCCAUGUGAUUUCAUACUUUAUCAUUUUAGUACCCUAUGAUUUAAAGUGUAUCAAAUUAGUACCCUGUAAUUUUUCACUUUAUCACUUUAGUACCCUAUGAUUUAAACUGUAUCAAGUUAGUACCAAAUGGUUUUGCACUUUAUCACUUUAAUACUCUGAGGUUUUAAUUUUGUAUCAAGUUAGUACCUUGUGGUUUUUAAACCAGAGGGUACUAAAGUAAUAAAGUGAGAAACCACAGGGUACUAAAGUGAUAAAGUGCAAAAUGACAGGGUACUAACUUGAUACACUUUAAACCAUAGAAUACUAAAGUGAUAAAGUGAUAAACCACAGGGUACUAACUUGAUACAUUUUAAACCACAGGGUACUAAAGUGAAAAAAAGUGAAACCACAAGGGGAUUUUUGAAGUUUUCCCAAAAAAAUAUA
rnacentral:lncRNA from 1 species